UCCUCCCCUUCUCCCUCUCCCUCCUCUCUCUCUCUCAGUCGUCCGCGGCGGCGGCCGCCGCCGACCUACCUCCACGGCUGCUGCUCCUCGCGCUCUAUAUGCUCCUCCACCGCAUGGAUUCGUCAAUCCCAUCCUUCUGUGGUUUCCUGCAUCGGUUUUACCCAUCUAGGGUUUCGGUGUGGUCGACCUACUCGUCGCCAGCGAUGCUCUAGUGCGUUGGUCCGUUCGUCUCCGUCUCCUGCCGUGCUCUCUCGUGGUGUUGUGCCUCCUAGAUGGCGCUCCUGUGCCUCGGAUGCACGCCCCUCUCUCCCGAGCUCGAUGAGAAGUAGUGGUGCCCCCUUUCUCCUGAGCUCCAAAUCCAUCCCAACAGCGCUAAGGUAACCAGCGGCAGAGGCUCCCACCUAGAACCUCUCUCCUCCUGCCCCCUCCUUCUCCUCCUAUGUGUUUUCGAUUUUUUCUGCGUGUACUUGCACGUUCAUGGAUGUAGAGGUAGCAGAUUAUGUUUUCUGUGUAAUAUUUCAUAAGCUUAAACUUCAAGGAGUAGAUGUAAUGCUAUUGUCUUUUGCCUCCCUCCAUGUUAUCAGUAUGGGUGCCAUCUUCUUAUCCCAGAUUCUUCCAAUCUUAUCAUCUUUAUUUCACUUACUCUCACAUUUUUCCUUAUUUUUGGCUUGUUUGAUAAGUUCAGUUUGUCUUGCUGCAGGGAUCCUAAUUUAGGUUCUACUCCAAUCAACAAAUAGAGUGCAACCCUUGAGUUCAUCCCGAUACAGUGGCAGUCACAUAAGAUGGAGCAUGGAAAUGGAUGAGCAGUAGGACUCGUUACAGUGUGUCGCCUUUGAAUGAGAGCUGCAAUAUUUCUUUUGUAGCUGCAUGGGUACCAAUUUUUUGUUAUCCCUGAUCCUUCCAAAAUAAAGUUUAGAGAGAUCAAAAUGUUACAUGCUCAAGGGCGCCGAGGAGUGUACUACUCAAUUCAGUUCUAUAAGAAUCAUACUGAAAAAUCUCCUCGCAUUAUCAGGGUGAUAGCUCUUUCAAAUGGAUGAAAGCUCAUCUAUGUGAAACGUGGUUUUGGUGAACUGAUUGCCCUUAUCGACAUUUUAGAGGGUCAGCCCGCCAUCCAAUUCAGAUGACCUUGUCUGACCUACGGGAGCAACCAGCACGGGCCAGCUAUGGAUUUGCUCGAGGAGGUGUUCUACGAGGAGGAAUUCGACCCCAUAAAGUACAUUAUGGAAAAUAUUUCGGAAGAAGCGUGUGAUGCCACCUAUUUCUAUAAGAAGGUGCACAAGGUACCAUGCAAGCAACUAGGCCGGCUGCGAUCAUGCUGCAGGGGCUGAAUAUAUUUGUAUCUCUGUAAGGCAUUUUAAGGCUGCCUUAAGACACGAGGAAGUAUGCCUUUACUUUUGGACACUGCCAUGUGCCAUCCAUUGCUUUUGAACCACCAUAAUCGUUCAUGUAACUCUUAAGAAUACAUUCUCUGAGUGUGUUGUUUUUGCACAACUCUAUCUUAAAAUUGCAGCUAGGAACUUGCACGACCCAGUACUAAACAUGCAUGUACUUUGAGUGUGAUGAAAAUAACACCCUGUGUUACAAAUAAGAAAGUGGAAGGGGCGUGUCCAUACCUGGCAGCGCCCCAGUUUCCUCUCAGGAGGCCUGCAAUGGCGGGCCCUUCUUUGCUUCUUCCUCCUUCGCCAGGUAUUAGUAUUAUACCCAUGAUCUUCAAGUUUAAUAUAUGAUGUAGGUCAGAGGCCUCUCUUAAAAUCGCCGUAAUCAUGAAAUUAUUAUCACCUAUAUAAUACCUGAAACUAGCACUCUUAAUAAUGAUAAAUUGUUCAUUCUACCUAAAAAUCUUCUAAGUAUGCGAGGCUAGCUUUUCAAACAUAAAUGUUUGGCUCUUUUUGUGUGCGUCUAUAUUUGUUCCAUAAAGUAUCAUUUGAGCCAUUGUGCUUAAAUAAACAUUGAAAAGCUUAAUUUUUGUCUUUCUGAUGCCUUUUCGUAAAGAACUGAUGAUCGAUAGUGACAACAUUACACAUGAUUAAGCUGUAGCACUAAGUUGUCCCUAUGAUUCGUAUAUCUGAGUGAAGUAUAACGAUCUAUCUGAUCAAUCCAUUUAACUGUUUUCAGGGUGGUUUGGUGUGCGAAAAACUGUUGGACUUGAUAGUUAAUGAGCCUGUUGUUAUCAUGGAAGAAGGUUUUCCUAAUGCCAUACAACGUGGAUAAUCAAUUAAAGAGAUGCAGACAUCAGAGUUGAGGUAGUUUCAAAUGAUGGGAAGAUGGUUAGGUGACGAGUGCCCUCUCCGAUGUGGAUGCUGAAGAAGUUCAGGUAUCGAUGUUUGUUAGCAUGAUUAAUUGUGGAUGCAAUGUUCAAGAUUGAUAUUAUCUGCGAUUGUCACAUCAUGCUAGGAACUGACGAGGGCAACCAUCACCACCAAUUAGUCAGAGUUUCGCCACCACGCAAACAUCCGUGAAGGAGACAUCUCCCAUCGCAAGGCGCCUCCUCACCCUCACCGUGCAUCGGCUCUAGACGCACAAUGGACGUAUGAAUAUAAUCUAUUUUUGUGCGAACCUCUUAAGUAUAAUUUAUGAUGUGUUGAACCUUGGCUCUGCUUUUGUACCUGCAAUGUGUUGCUUUUGGAAGCUAGCAUAUAUGCUGUCGUGCAUGUAACCUCUAAAAUUGCUACUCAUCAGGUCUAACUGUA